AAAACAUAGCUAGAAGUAGAUAUUUUUAGUUUAACCUGCCCAAUGUGAAAAUCAAUGGCCGCGGUACUCUGACCGUGCUAAGGUAGCGUAAUCAUUUGACUUUUAAAUGGAGUCAGGUAUGAAUGGGAUUAACCUGGUUUAGCUGUCUCCAAAUUAAUCUUUUGAAGUUACUGUUUAAGUGAAAAAGCUUAAAUUUGAUUGAAGAGGGACGAGAAGACCCUUAGAAUUUUUUCUAAUGAAGUUUUACUUUAAUGAUUUUGUUGGGGCGACAUAGAAAUAAUUAAAACUUUCUGCAAAAUACAAACCGAUAAUGUUAAAAUGGAAUAAAUUACCUAAGGGAUAACAGCAUAAUUUUACAGUUAAGUUUGUGACCUCGAUGUUGGACUAGGAAACUGGUAUGGCUAGAAGCCUGCUUUGUGGGUUCUGUUCGAACUAUAAUUCCU
rnacentral:rRNA from 1 species